UGUUAGUGAUUAAGUGAAUGUAAUGCUCAACUAAACUGUGGUUAUCUUUGCCAUAGGAUUUUUUAGAAGUUAAAUACUUGUAUUUAAUGUAUAAACAGGUUUGGAACAGGCUUCAGAGCUCUAAGCAGCUUUUCAGGCACUCUUCCAGUCUACAGACUCCCAUCUCCUUCCUGAAUCUCAUCCUGUCCUUGCUUGCCACAUCUUGAACUCUUUGACUUCACAAAGGCUCCAUUGGUCUUCAAGGGCACAAGCAUUUUACUAUGGAGAAUAAAUCUAUCCUUGAGCUUUGAGAUGGUACAGCUCUGAAUAGUGCAGCUGAGCCCCAGUUUCAUCAUUUGCGAUAAUGGUGCAGACCCUGGACCCUACAGGCAGAAAUUUUGUUUUAGAACAAGAUGUAGUAGCUGAUUAAAGAAAC